CUAGAAAGGAAUUUGGAGAUGGAACAACCAGGGAGCAGGGGUAGGGGUGGUUGACACUGUUAGGAUUGAUUGGCUACUUUGUUUUUAAGUUUGAGAGGAACAGAGUCACAUUUAUAACCUGAAGUGGGUGAUUCAGUAAAGGAGGAGGAAAUAAAAGAGUGAAUCAGAGGCUUCCCAGAAGAUCUGGAGCUUGACAGGAGUGAAGUUAGAAAGAAUAUAGAGGAAAGUAAUGAAGAUCUGGAAAGCUGCUGAAGGCAUGGAUGAGGGUGCUGACCAAGAAUUCCCCAAAUCACAGAGGGUGCUGCUGUAAGUGGUUACCAUAAAUUUUGUGGGUACCAUGAUUACUGCACUUCAUUUAGGAGACUGAAUGGAAUCUCAACAUUUAAAUACCUAAUCGCUUGCUUUCAUCUCUGGCACAAGUGAACUGGAUUUCCCCACACAUAUGAGUCACCUGAUAACAAAUUUCCCGGCUUAAAUAGCUUUAAAAUGGCACUAUUAGUUAUGCAGCAGUAUGAACUGUGUCUCAGAGUCAAGGAUUUAUAGGAACAAUAUGUUUUUAGCAUUCAUGUUCUUUCUCAACAUGCGCAUUUUUCUUUCAUGCUGUAAAAAAGUUUUUCUGAUGCUGAAAAGUGUUUUGUGCAACUAUUUCAGAAUGAAGCCCCUCUCCUUCUUCUGGCUCCCAGAAAAAUCAGACAGCCUGAUGUGUUUUUCACUUUAAUCUGAAUUGUAAAACACUGCAUUCUUGCAGUUUUCCCACAAACUGAAGUGAAAGAAAUAUGUACUUGCUAUUUUGGGGGGCAUAUGUCUGGGUAAAUAAAACAUGCUCCCAACCUCCUA
ensembl:lncRNA